CUAUACGCAUGCGCGGUGCCGAAUGCAGCUGCCGUUGGCGGGUCUCCGGUUCGGGCGGCGAGGUGCCGGAGUAACAAUCACUUCGCGCAUGCUCACAGUCUCCAGAUGGGCGGUGUUUUCCUUUCCGCUCAGUGCUGAAGCGGAUCGUCUGCGGCAUCGGGAAAGGGUCCUCGCCUCCUGGGUCGGGGAGCCGGGGUUCGGGAUCACUGUCCGCAGGCCGAAGAUAUCAGUUUUCCCAGCGUUAGACCUGUGGUGAGAGAUUUAUUGGAAGAAAAACCACAACUGGAGGCAAACCACGACUGAAGACGAGGGAACAGCAACAAGUGAACCAGCCCGAGGGUUGAGAGCAUCAACUGGAGAGAACCCAUCUGACUCGGAGAUUCCAGUGAUUCAGUCAGGAGAAAGUUUGGUGAGUCUCACUUACUCAAACACUGGUCCUUUAGACAUUACAUACCUGUACAAAGGAUGGUAGGAAAUAGUUGGAGUGAGACUGAAUGUUGCCAGAAGAACCAGUUAUUCCUCGGUCAGACCCAGUUGCAAUCACUCUGGGUCUGGUGAUGUGCUUCCAGCAGCCCAGCCCUUUAAAACCACUCCCAUUCUGUGGAAGUUGAAUCCGGAUAAAGUCACCCAGAGACCAAAUAAGUGCAAACUAUUUAUUCCAAGCACCCGGGCCUUACUCAGUAUAUGACUGUUCCCGCCCAAUCCACUAACUGACUAACAAUUCCCCUUACACCACAGAUAUAUCCGUCCAGAUGCCCCCCACACAAGACAGACUGGAGCCAAAGUUAUUUACUACAUGACAGCCCCUAAAGACAAAUUACAAAAUAAUCAUAAUGGCCUACACACACAGAACAGACUGAAGCUGUCCUAUCUCUACGCAUGAGUGCACAAGGAGCUAAGCAUCCUGAAACCCCAGCUGGCUACAGUGGCAUGCAAAAGUUUAGGCACCCCGGUGAAAAUUUCUGUUACUGUGAAUAGUGCAGUGAGUAGAAUAUGAACCGAUCUCCAAAAGUCAUAAAGUUAAAGAUGAAACAUUCUUUUCAAAAUUUUAAGCAAGAUUAGUGUAUUAUUUUUGUUUUGUACAAUUUUCGAGUGAAAAAAAAAAGGAAAGGAGCACCAUGCAGAAGUUUGGGCACCCCAAGAGAUUUGAGCUCUCAGAUAACUUUUACCAAGUUCCCGGAGCUUAAUUAGCUUGUUAGGGCUAUGGCUUGUUUACAGUCAUCAUUAGGAAAGGCCAGGUGACGCAAAUUUCAAAGCUUUAUAAAUACCCCGACUCCUCAAACCUUGUCCCAGCAAUCAGCAGCCAUGGGCUCCUCUAAGCAGAUGCCUAGCACUCUGAAAUUUAAAAUAAAUGAUGCCCAGAAAGCAGGAGAAGGCUAUAGGAAGAUAGCAAAGCCGUUUCCUCAGUUUGUAAUGUAAUUAAGAAAUGGCAGUUAACAGGAAUGGUGGAGGUCAAGUUGAGGUCUGGAAGACCAAGAAAACUUUCGGAGAGAACUGCCCGUAGGAUUCCUGGAAAGGCAAAUCAAAACCCCCGUUUGACUGCAAAAGUCCUUCAGGAAGAUUUAGCAGACUCUGGAGUGGUGGUGCACUGUUCUACUGUGCAGUGACGCCUGCACAAAUAUGACCUUCAUGGAAGAGUCAUCAGAAGAAAACUGUCCCUGUGUCCUCACCACAAAAUUCAGCCUCAGAAGUUUGCAAAGGUACAUUUAAAGAAGCCUGAUGCAUUUUGGAAACCAGUCCUGUGGACUGAUGAAGUUAAAAUAGAACGUCUGUUGAUCAUCAGCAGUUGCUUUCUGAAAAAUAGGCUACUAUUGUUUAACAAAGUGUUAACCCUUUUACAUACUUUAUCAUCCCUCCUUUUGAUCAUUACAUGAUCAACAAAGUAGUAGUUUUUUACAGAGAAAGCAACUGAGUAGAGCAUUGACUUAUCAGUGGGUAAAAACAGUGUACAACAGUAAUUAUAACAAAGAUAUCUACAACUAUUAGGCCAUAAUGCAAUAUCAUACCCCACAAAUUACAGAACAGGCCUUCAAAGACCAUCAUUUCGACCCUUCGGUGAACCCGUGUAAGUCCUGUCGUACUUUCUUGAUGCUGUCAAUCUCCUUGGCAGUGUGGUCGGAGAGGGAUGUAAUGUUAGUAGAGUCAUCAGGGAGAUAGGUGCAGCAGUCUGUGUCAAUAAUAGCACAGGUUCCCCCUUUCUCAGCCAGGAUAAAAUCAAACGCCAUAGGAUUCUGUAGGACUGUUUGCCGGAUUGCAAUCAUUUCAGUGGAUAUUUCUGUUACUUGGGCCUGUGUUUCUGUCAGGGCCCCUGCAGUAUUGUGGCCAGCUCCUCAAGUGCUGUAGCCAGAUUGAUUAUCUCUCGUGAAUUCCUGGCUACUCCACAGGAGAGAAAAGUGAUCAUCCAAAAUCGCUCAGUUUCGGUUAUUCCUCUCCGCUGCUGGGUACCUGCAAGUAUGGCCAGGAUGCAUGUUUCCCAGUAUAGGAAGUUCUGUUUGAUGGGAGCCUGAGAUACCAUCCCUCAAAACACUGACAGCCAUAGUCAUCUCUGACUGGACCACAGUUCCUCACCUCACUUCCCUGGCUGUUAUUUGAGAAAGCCCAGGCUGAGAGUUCCUCACUCUGGUUGUGCGGGAUUACUGACAUUGGAAUCAUAGUUUUACCAUGCUGCAGAAUUUCGGCACAAACCCAGCAGGCCCCUAGUUCUACCUGUUUGGCCUAGGUGUGACAGAGAGACAGAAAGGUAUUAACAUGGGGAACCCCAGAUGCUGGAGUGAGCCCUCUCAAAGACAUAAACAAGAACAUCACUAGAAACCAAUACAUCUUCCUCUAGUCCGAGAGAGUCCUUCUACUCAGUUCCUUCAGUAACACAUUGGCAGUCUGUUCGAUGUAUCCACCGAGAUUGCCCCUUCAGUUUCACAGCCGUGGGAGUGGUCAGUAACACCUGAUAUGGUCCUCUCCACCGAGGUCCGAGAUUCACUCAAUCUCAGUUCUUGAUCAGGACAAAAUCCCCAGGUUCUGAGGUGGGAUAGUCACUCCUGUCUGUGGGGUAGUUCUCUUCCUUGUAAGGCUGUCGUACCUGUGAAUGUAUGAGUGGUGAUUGAUAUGUUUGUGGCCUACAGUAGAAGGAGUCAAUUUUGGAAAACCUAGCACAUUAAUUUUAAACAUAGUCCCCUCCUACAUGAACGCACUUAGUCCAGCAGUCGUGGAGCGUACAGAUCCCUUCUUUGUAGAAGUGGUCCACAGCAGGGGUGAUUGAUCAGUUCAUGGCCGAGGUAGAAGGGGAAGAAUUAUACAGCUCUUGGUACAUGCACGAGCAGUUCAACUCUGAGUGAAAAUGCAGGAAGUUUGAAGUUAGUAACUCAUUUCCUUCUACCUUUGGCCACAAACUCAGUCACCCGAGGCUGUGGACCACUUCUGGAUGUCGAAGAUGCCAAUUUCUACAAAGAAGGAAUCCGUAUGCUCCACGACCAUUGGACUGUGUGUAAAUGUAUGAAAAAUAAAUGCCACACUCAGGUUGGAGGAACAACACCUUAUGUUCCAUCUGGGUAGCCUCCAACCUGAUGGCAUGAACAUCGACUUCUCUAUCUUCUGCUAAUGCCCCACCUCCCCCUCGUACCCCAUCUAUUACUAUUUUUAUACACACAUUCUUUCUCUCACUCUCCUUUUUCUCCCUCUGUCCCUCUGAAUAUACCCCUUGCCCAUCCUCUGGGUUCCCCCCCACGCUCUUUCUUCCCGGACCUCCUGUCCCAUGAUCCUCUCGUAUCCCUUUUGCCUAUCACCUGUCCAGCUCUUGGCUCCAUCCCUCCCCCUCCUGUCUUCUCCUAUCAUUUUGGAUCUCCCCCUCCCCCUCCCACUUUCAAAUCCCUUACUCACUCUUCCUUCAGUUAGUCCUGACAAAGGGUCUCGCCCUGAAACGUCGACUGUACCUCUUCCUAGAGAUGCUGCCUGGCCUGCUGCGUUCACCAGCAACUUUUAUGUGUGUUGCUUGAAUUUCCAGCAUCUGCAGAAUUCCUGUUGUUUGCGAAAAAUAAAUGUGGUAGGUUUUCUAAAAUUGACUCCAUCUUCCUGAGGCCACAAACUGAUCAAGCUCCCCUCGUAAUGCUUGGAGGAUUUUGGUUAGUUGGCAUAUAUAUUUCCUCAUCUCUUCCCCUAGGGUAUGCAUAUACAAGUUUGCUGGUAGACAUCCUGGGAGCAAUGGUGCACAAGGUCUUGGUCCCCAGGUUGUCCUCAUGGACCGUCCAUAAAUGAUUUCAGCUGGUGAUGACCCUGUUUUCCCCUGUGGGGUAACCCUCGUGUGGAACAGGGCUAACGGUAGAACCUUCAACCAAGUGAGUGCAGACUCUGCUGUUAGUUUGGCGAAUUUACUCUUCAGAGUGCCAUUGGCUCCUUCCACUAUGCCAGCGGCCCGUGGGUGGUGUACACAGUGGAAUUGUCGCUUCAUAGCUAGUUUGUUACAUACCCCUUCGUUUACUUUCACUACAAAGUGUGGGCCAUUGUCAGAGAGCAUCUUCGGCAGGCCGUACCUGUGAAUUAUUUCCCGUAAUAAUACCUUCACAACAGUCAUACCAGUAUUAUUGGUAGUUGGAAUAGCUUCAGUCCAUCUACUAAACACAUCUAUAAUAACGAAGCAGUAUCUAUAGUAAUGUACUCUAGGCAAUUCAAUAAAAUCAACUUGUAGAUGCGAAAAAGGUUCACCUGUCAAGGGAGUCAUACCCGGUGUGCAGGGUACAGGUUACCAACCAUUCCCUCCUUUCCCAGGUGUGUUCAAUUAUGUAUAUAAUGGACCAAUAUUGGUAGAAACUGUGCAGGAACACGAACCUGUCCCACUGGGGUGAUCCAAAAUCCUACAUCGGGGUCUUUCUGGCACCCCAUCUCGGACCACCGUUUGCACUCCUCCUCAGAGGCGUCCCCCUGAAAAGUAAGUACCUCCUGCAUGUCUGGCAAACCCGUUCUGCUUCAGUCACAGAGGGUUGCUUGACUGAAUCCGAGGGUGCUACAACUCCUGAGGACUGUGACACACUUUUUGCUGUCUAAUCUACUAAAGCAUUGCCUUUAGUGACCCGGUCGGACUUGCGGGUGCAGGCUGCAAAUUUAAUAAUAGCUGAAACUCGAGGUAGCUGUAGAGCAGUGAGUAAGUCAUUUACAAAGGUGGCAUUACUAAUGGGGUGGCCAGAGGAAGUCAGAAAUCCCCACGUUCCCAGAGAGCCCCAUAGUCAUGUACAACUCCAAAUGCAUAACGGGAGUCCGUGUAAACGUUUGCACUUUAGUCUGUUGCUAGGAUACAGGCACGAGUGAAACAGCUCAGCCUUCUGGGCGGAGACAACUGUUUCAAAAGACGACUGCUCAAUUACUUCACUGUCCGUCACUAUCGCAUAGCCAGAACAUUGUUUCUCUGCUGGAUCCACAAAAGAGCUUCCAUCCACAUAAAACGUUGCCUCGGCCUUUAGGGGGUAUUGUGGAAAGGAUGGCACAGUCUGUCCUUCUUUCACGGUGAUCCGGCCAGCGGGGGGCAGUUAAUGCAGCCGACUUCAUGGCCUGAAAUUGCCCAGAGAUGGGAUACAAUGUCUUGGGUUCGGUUAAUAUUAAAAGAGUGUCUUACCAGAUGUCCCGUCUUCACCUCAGACUCCUUCCAGAAUCGGAGUUAGCCCGCGGGCAAGUCUUGCCAGUCUCCCUCGGUGUUGGAUGCUUGUUUCGUCAGGGUGUAGGCAAGGAACCCUAGGUUCUUUGGCUUGAACCCAGGGAAAACCCUAACAGUGGUAUGGGGAACCACCAGUCCUGUCUGUCGCCAAAGGAAAUCCGGAACUUCAGCCAGUAAUGCACUGCCCUCUCUUCCUUUAACCUCUCCAAUCACUGUGACCAGGAACUUCUGUCUCUCAAGGGGUGCAUAAUAUUGGCUUUCCUCAGUAGGGUCAUAGCACAGAGUCACAUGAGGGUUGGCCGCUGGCAGAAGGGUUUCAAAUGCAGUGGAGUCCAGAUUAAGUGCCCACCACUGGGGGGUCAGAAACUGGGGAAGCUGUCGGUUGUUUGCUAGUCCCAGGGUGACACCCUUGUCCGUCUAUAGAAUCUCGACUUCCAGCGGACAGAGCAAGUCUCUCCCUGCUGGAUUACACCCCAGACUGGUGGUGACUGUAAAUGAAACCUCACACUGGUAUCCCUGGAAUUCCACCGGCAGUGGCUGGGUACGUGAACACGCAUGUUCCGUGCCUUCGAACCCAGACACAGUGAUUGUAGUGUCUGAUGGCUGGAAUCCCUUUUCCAGUACUAUUUCCUGAUUAAGAGUGGUUGUGGUGGCCCCUGUAAACGGAAUUGGAAUUGCAGCAACUUGCAAUAUUUCAUUGGGCUUUUCCUGAGGGGUGGUACUCACAGCAGGAAGCGUCCUUGCUUGUCAAUUUCUAAACGGGUUGUUGUCCCCACCUGUCCCGUGGUAGGUUUGUGUUCCCAUUUCUGAUCCCAGAUAUAGCCCGCUCGCAUCCUUCUACCCGCUGAACAUAUUCAGCUUUAAUAUCACUUCCUUUCGGGGUUGAUCGGGAUUCGAAAGCCGGGUCCCAAUAAUAUAUCAAAGCUCGUCGCAUUCGAUUUCGGUCAUUGUCAGGCCAAUCCAUAUUAUUUGUCUUAAUCAUGUUGGCUAACUUAGUUGGUAAGCAUAGGAGAAGAAAGGCAUUAAACUGGGGGGACAGAUUCCCAUCAUUGAAGGCUUGGUGUCCUGCGAAAGUGCUGCAGCAGGCCAGAAAUCACUCCCAAUAAUCUGGUCCUGAUUCCCCAGGCUUCGGUUUGCAUUCAGGUACUUUAGUGAUGUUUACAGGUUGCAGGAGAGCCCUUCCAAGGCUUGAAUAAUCUGGUCUGUCUGUUCAUUCUCAUUGUGGUUUUCCACCUGUAACUCCUGAUAGGUUUGGUAUCUCAAUUCUGCUUUGCAUUUCUGCCCCUCAUCAGCUGAGAGAAUCAUGCAGCAGAGACAGAAUAAAUCUUGCGGUGUCGCAUUAUACAUUUGUAUAAUACUGAGGACAUACUGAGCAAACUGUCCAGGUUUUUCUUUCCUAUCUGGGCCUGAAUCAUGAUCAUUAUCAUUUCUUGAGGCUUCCAGGGUGCAUACACAGGAAUCACUGAGGACUGUCCCUCCUCCUGCUCGUGGACUGGGCAGCAUUCGGGUGGGCAAUUGUCUUUGUGGAGCCAUUAGCUCUGGGUUUUAUUGGAUUCUUCCCACAGUAUUUCCUUUCUGGAUCUCAGGGUAUAGGGACCUCCCCUUCCCUGCCACUGCUGUUUUACCCGAGCGGCCACCGUAUGUGAGUACUGGGAGGAUUGGGGUUCAGGAGCACUGGGUGCACUUGGCCCCUGAUAAGGUGGGUGGGGUACAGUGGGUGCCCACUCCUCAUCACUGUCACUGUCCUCAAACAGGGUCGGUAUGCAGACAUGGGUUCGGGAUCACUUGUUUCCCUAUCAGUUCGAACUGAUGUUCCUGCCCUUCUCUCCUAUCUAGGCCUUGGUUUGCUUACGUUGUUUUUCCUGCUCUCGUUUUCAGCUCCCAUCCACCCAUUAACGCUCCGCUUUUAGCGUCUCCCAACCUUUCGCGUUCCUUCUGCAGUACAUACCUCUAUCCCUUUGUCACAUGCAUUAUUCCUCCAAUUUGCUAAUAAUAUACUGUUCCACUUCACAUCUACCUUUUCCUUCCAUUCCCUUUUGAACAAUUUCCAUUUCUUUCCACAGUUCUUUCUCCAAAUCAAAUUUACUGUUUGUUCUCAUGAGGUAAUAUCCCACCACAGUCUGCUUGGAACUCCCUAUAUUGGGAUCCAGUUUGUGACGCCAAAUGUUCAAGUUGUAUCUGAAUAAAACUUGGGAGACCAGCUUCUUAUCGUCACUACAAUUUAUAGCGCAUUCUCCUGCAGGAGUUUGAGACCCAGUUGUCAAAGGGAAGGCACGUAAGCACUGCCACCAUCUGACAAGUGGACUGAUUUAGUCAGGUUACAGCCAGAAAUUAAGACAUAGUAAGCCCCAUACAUUACCAUUGCAAGAUGUUAUUUGAACUGGUACGCCCAGCAAGUCUGUUGGUGCAAAACAUAAUUACUUAGAUAAGGUUCGCUAAAUCAAGGUUUUAAUUACAGAUGGAUGUACUGUCCAGUCCUUAUCAGUUAUUCCCUUUGCAAGGCCCUGACUUAAUUACAGACAGAUAUUCAUUCCUGUCCCUAUCGGCGAGUUCUUAUCCCUUUACUAAAGAGGGUACAAUGUAUAAUGUUAUCAGCUCUCAGUGUGUCUCUCUGCAAGCCACAGAGGACUGGUAAUGAGCCUGUCUUAGCUAACCGCUGAAGACAGAGUUUACAUCAGCUCAAAAAUUCCUAUUCCGUCCCAAUUAUUAUUUUAACCAGAGGUUACAGAGGUUCAAAAUGAUUUUUUAUACAUCCUCAAUUCCUCAGGAGGGUUCAGGGGAAAUAUUUUUGUCCAAUAUAGAAGCUGGUGUUACCUGUGUGUAUUGUGGCAAUUCAAAAGUUGCUGGAGAAUUUACAAGUGGGAAGAAGUGGAGUGAUAUUUGGAAAUCUGACUUUUUAAAGCGUAAUUUAGCAAACAAGCCACAUAUAGACAAUGUGCAAAAGCUCUGGUCAAAAACACCUUCAUUUCCCAUUACAGGACUGCUACAUAGGUUGUGUGAGCGUGAACUCGAUCGAAGCCAGGGGAGAUCAAAGUUCUCACUGGCAGUGAUUUGCAA